rnacentral:lncRNA from 1 species
CCAAUAUUUGUUUAACAUAGUUUCAUUUGAUCAUGUUUACUUAAUUAAUAAUUAGCUGGGCUUGUAUGUGAAAUGCAUAAAACAUAAGAGGCCAUUGAACCUAAACAUAAGAAAAUUAGCCAAGACUCAAAGUUUGAAAGCUUUAAUUUGUUCAAGUUGUCUCAAUUUGAAUAUGGGGAAAGAGCUAAGACUACAAGUCAAGGCAAAAAGAAAAACAUUAAAGGGUAGGCUAGAGAACAUACAUACCCCUGCUACCAAGAAAUCCCAUAUCAAUUCUCCAUAUUCAGUAAGAUAUGGAAUUUGAGCUCCUUGGUAUUGAAACGGAGACCACAUAAGCUGCAGCAAAUCUCCGAUUCACUGAUGUCAGAACUUGUACUGUAGCUUCCGCAAUGCUCAGAAAUAUUCAAAUAUGGAAUCAUGAAAUCAGGAAAACGAUUCAAGCAAACCAAAGCCAUUCAUUAGCUUCUGAUGACCUAAUGAAUAGGAUCACCAGCUUUGAAACACGAAGUCCGUGUUC